UUGCGGAAACAGGAUUUGAACCCGUGACCUCAAGGUUAUGAGCCUUGCGAGCUACCAAACGGCUCUACCCAGCG
rnacentral:tRNA from 1 species